rnacentral:rRNA from 1 species
ACAUUCUGCCCUAUGAUUUAUAUUAAAUGGCUGCAGUAAUUUGACUGUGCAAAGGUAGCAUAAUAAUUAGUCUUUUAAUUGAAGACUCGAAUGAAUGAAUAUAUGAGAAAUUUAUUUUAUUUUUAUAAUAAAAUUAAUUUUAUUAAUCAGUAAAAAAGCUUAUUUAAUCUAUUAAGACGAGAAGACCCUAUAGAACUUUAAUUAAAAUUUUAUUAACAAAUUAAUUAAAAUUAAUUUUAAUUUUUUAUUUUUUGCUGGGGAAGUAGAAAAAUUUUAAUUUUUUUUUAAAAAAUCAUUAAUUUAUGUUUUGUUAAUUUAAAUAUUUUAAUUACAAGUUUAAGUUACCUUAGGGAUAACAGCGUUAUUUUUGUGGAGAGUUCAUAUCUAUAUAAAAGUUUGCGACCUCGAUGUUGAAUUAAAAUAAGGGUGAGGGGUAAUUUUUUCAUUUUUAAGUC